rnacentral:rRNA from 1 species
UACGUAGGGUCCGAGCGUUGUCCGGAAUUACUGGGCGUAAAGAGCUCGUAGGUGGUUUGUCGCGUUGUUCGUGAAAACUCACAGCUCAACUGUGGGCGUGCGGGCGAUACGGGCAGACUAGAGUACUGCAGGGGGAGACUGGAAUUCCUGGUGUAGCGGUGGAAUGCGCAGAUAUCAGGGAGGAAACACCCGGUGGCGAAAGGGCGGG